AUUGAACGCUGGCGGCAUGCUUUACACAUGCAAGUCGAACGGUAACAGGCCGCUAGGUGCUGACGAGUGGCGAACGGGUGAGUAAUGCAUCGGAACGUGCCCAGUCGUGGGGGAUAACUACUCGAAAGAGUAGCUAAUACCGCAUACGAUCUAUGUAUGAAAGGGGGGGGGCGUAAGGCCUCGCGCGAUUGGAGCGGGCGAUGUGAGAUUAGGUAGUUGGUGGGGUAAAGGCUCACCAAGCCAACGAUCUGUAGCUGGGCUGAGAGGACGACCAGCCACACUGUGACUGAGACACGGCCCAGACUCCUACGGGAGGCAGCAGUGGGGAAUUUUGGACAAUGGGCGCAAGCCUGAUCCAGCAAUGCCGCGUGCAGGAAGAAGGCCUUCGGGUUGUAAACUGCUUUUGUACGGAACGAAACGGCUCUGGUUAAUACCCGGGGCUAAUGACGGUACCGUAAGAAUAAGCACCGGCUAACUACGUG
rnacentral:rRNA from 1 species